rnacentral:lncRNA from 1 species
CUUGUAAACAUGUGGAUUAGGAAUUGAAUUCCCUUGAGCUACAUAUUAAUUAUAUUGGGUGGGUAGCUAUAUUUCGUAGAUUAUUGGAGACAUCGCAUAAGACGAGCCAUGUGCUAUUUGAUGGCCAUAUGAUAUUUGCUUAUUGCGAUCGUUUUGUUUGGAAUAUAUAUUAUUUGCACCUUGAAACUUUGAGAUGUUGCGUUACACGGUUGGGCUUAACGAAUUUACUUAUUGAUAUGUGUUUUUAUGAGGUACUUGUUCGAGGCUUGACAUUUCUCUCUUGAAAAUGGAGUAAAUUGCCAAAUUUCAAGCAAAAAGCCGAGGUCGGAAUCGACCUCGCAUUCAAGACAAGACGCCGUCUGUAUCGACCGUUUUCGCAAAAAGUCGAGGUCGGAAUCGACCGCACUCUCAAGACAAGACGUCGUCCGUAUCGACCGCGUUAGCAAAAAGCCGAGGUCGGGAUCGACCUCGCACUCAUUUUCUUCCCCCUUCAGUUUUCGAUCAUCACAAGAACAUUAACAAGAAAUUAAAGAGAAGAAAAAUCAAAUAUACUGUUGGUGUUGAAGCACGAAUUCGAA